rnacentral:ribozyme from 1 species
UGCCCACCAACUCCUAUCCCUAUCUUUGCGUGGCACCGGCCGGGCUGCGAGCAACCUUAGGGAAGAUCGAGUAACCAACGCCGGUGGGAACUUUGAUCAUAAGCUAACAGGGAAGG